GGGAGGCAGCAGUAGGGAAUUUUUCCACAAUGGACGAAAGUCUGAUGGAGCAACGCCGCGUGAGUGAAGAAGGGUUUCGGCUCGUAAAACUCUGUUGUUAAAGAAGAACAUAUCUGAGAGUAACUGUUCAGGUAUUGACGGUAUUUAACCAGAAAGCCACGGCUAACUACGUGCCAGCAGCCGCGGUAAUACGUAGGUGGCAAGCGUUGUCCGGAUUUAUUGGGCGUAAAGCGAGCGCAGGCGGUUUUUUAAGUCUGAUGUGAAAGCCUUCGGCUCAACCGAAGAAGUGCAUCGGAAACUGGGAAACUUGAGUGCAGAAGAGGACAGUGGAACUCCAUGUGUAGCGGUGAAAUGCGUAGAUAUAUGGAAGAACACCAGUGGCGAAGGCGGCUGUCUGGUCUGUAACUGACGCUGAGGCUCGAAAGUAUGGGUAGCAAACAGGAUUAGAUACCCUGGUAGUCCAUACCGUAAACGAUGAAUGCUAAGUGUUGGAGGGUUUCCGCCCUUCAGUGCUGCAGCUAACGCAUUAAGCAUUCCGCCUGGGGAGUACGGCCGCAAGGCUGAAACUCAAAGGAAUUGACGGGGGCCCGCACAAGCGGUGGAGCAUGUGGUUUAAUUCGAAGCUACGCGAAGAACCUUACCAGGUCUUGACAUACUAUGCAAAUCUAAGAGAUUAGACGUUCCCUUCGGGGACAUGGAUACAGGUGGUGCAUGGUUGUCGUCAGCUCGUGUCGUGAGAUGUUGGGUUAAGUCCCGCAACGAGCGCAACCCUUAUUAUCAGUUGCCAGCAUUAAGUUGGGCACUCUGGUGAGACUGCCGGUGACAAACCGGAGGAAGGUGGGGAUGACGUCAAAUCAUCAUGCCCCUUAUGACCUGGGCUACACACGUGCUACAAUGGAUGGUACAACGAGUUGCGAACUCGCGAGAGUAAGCUAAUCUCUUAAAGCCAUUCUCAGUUCGGAUUGUAGGCUGCAACUCGCCUACAUGAAGUCGGAAUCGCUAGUAAUCGCGGAUCAGCAUGCCGCGGUGAAUACGUUCCCGGGCCUUGUACACACCGCCCGUCACACCAUGAGAGUUUGUAACACCCAAAGUCGGUGGGGUACACCUUUUAGGAACCCACGGG
rnacentral:rRNA from 1 species